UUUGCUUUGGCAAGAUGUACUAAAAUUUGAGUGAUACAAGGAAAACUAGCAUGGCCCCUGUACCAAUAUAGCACACCAAUUCAUGAAGCAUUCUGUAUUUUU
rnacentral:snRNA from 1 species